UACAGAGGGUGCGAGCGUUGUCCGGAAUCACUGGGCGUAAAGGGCGCGUAGGUGGCGGGCCAAGUCAGUGGUGAAAGCUCGAUGCUCAACAUCGAGUCGGCCACUGAUACUGGUUUGCUUGAGCACUGUAGAGGCAGAUGGAAUUCCGGGUGUAGCGGUGGAAUGCGUAGAGAUCCGGAAGAACACCAGCGGCGAAGGCGGCACUCUGGGCUGGAAUUGACGCUGAGGAGCGAAAGUGUGGGUAGCAAACAGG
rnacentral:rRNA from 1 species